GGGCAAGGUUAAGCAGACUAAUACAUGCAAGUCGAGCGGACAGAUGGGCUUGCUCACCCUGAUGUUAGCGGCGGACGGGUGAGUAACACGUGGGUAACCUGCCUGUAAGACUGGGAUAACUCCGGGAAACCGGGGCUAAUACCGGAUGGUUGUUUGAACCGCAUGGUUCAGACAUAAAAGGUGGCUUCGGCUACCACUUACAGAUGGACCCGCGGCGCAUUAGCUAGUUGGUGAGGUAACGGCUCACCAAGGCGACGAUGCGUAGCCGACCUGAGAGGGUGAUCGGCCACACUGGGACUGAGACACGGCCCAGACUCCUACGGGAGGCAGCAGUAUUGGGGAAUCUUCCGCAAUGGACGAAAGUCUGACGGAGCAACGCCGCGUGAGUGAUGAAGGUUUUCGGAUCGUAAAGCUCUGUUGUUAGGGAAGAACAAGUGCCGUUCAAAUAGGGCGGCACCUUGACGGUACCUAACCGAAAGCCACGGCUAACUACGUGCCAGCAGCCGCGGUAAUACGUAGGUGGCAAGCGUUGUCCGGAAUUAUUGGGCGUAAAGGGCUCGCAGGCGGUUUCUUAAGUCUGAUGUGAAAGCCCCCGGCUCAACCGGGGAGGGUCAUUGGAAACUGGGGAACUUGAGUGCAGAAGAGGAGAGUGGAAUUCCACGUGUAGCGGUGAAAUGCGUAGAGAUGUGGAGGAACACCAGUGGCGAAGGCGACUCUCUGGUCUGUAACUGACGCUGAGGAGCGAAAGCGUGGGGAGCGAAACAGGAUUAGAUACCCUGGUAGUCCACGCCGUAAACGAUGAGUGCUAAGUGUUAGGGGGUUUCCGCCCCUUAGUGCUGCAGCUAACGCAUUAAGCACUCCGCCUGGGGAGUACGGUCGCAAGACUGAAACUCAAAGGAAUUGACGGGGGCCCGCACAAGCGGUUGUGGUUUAAUUCGAAGCAACGCGAAGAACCUUACCAGGUCUUGACAUCCUCUGACAAUCCUAGAGAUAGGACGUCCCCUUCGGGGGCAGAGUGACAGGUGGUGCAUGGUUGUCGUCAGCUCGUGUCGUGAGAUGUUGGGUUAAGUCCCGCAACGAGCGCAACCCUUGAUCUUAGUUGCCAGCAUUCAGUUGGGCACUCUAAGGUGACUGCCGGUGACAAACCGGAGGAAGGUGGGGAUGACGUCAAAUCAUCAUGCCCCUUAUGACCUGGGCUACACACGGCUACAAUGGACAGAACAAAGGGCAGCGAAACCGCGAGGUUAAGCCAAUCCCACAAAUCUGUUCUCAGUUCGGAUCGCAGUCUGCAACUCGACUGCGUGAAGCUGGAAUCGCUAGUAAUCGCCACGGAUCAGCAUGCCGCGGUGAAUACGUUCCCGGGCCUUGUACACACCGCCCGUCACACCACGAGAGUUUGUAACACCCGAAGUCGGUGAGGUAACCUUUAGGAGCCAGCCGCCGAGAGAGUGAAUGCG
rnacentral:rRNA from 1 species